AUGAAAUACAUUUAUUACCCUUUUAACGUAAAAUUAGAAUUCUAAUCAACACCAGAUCAGAACUCAUUUCACGACAUCCGGUUUCUCAUCUUUAUCUUCAACCCCAAUUUUCAGUUUUUGUUCUUCCACUUCAAUCUCAUCAUUGUUCUUCCACCUCAGUUUUUGUUCAAUCUCUUUAUUCUAAGCUUCGUCGGAGGGCUCGCCUGGGCCACCAACAAUGAUGCGCUGGAGAUGGCAUUUUCUCCAUUCGAUCAUCAACGAACGUGAGAUCGGGAGGUCCAGGGGCUUCGGCUUCGGCUUCGGCUUCGGCUUCGUCACCUUCAGCAACGAGAACGCCAUGAGAGAAGCGAUCGAAGAUAUGAAAGACCAGAACUUCGACGGUCGUAACAGCACCGUCAACAAGGCCCAAACUUGUGGAAGCUAAAAUGAAAUGCUGUAAUAUGUAUGUGUCUGCAUGUAUAGUAUUUUGAGCUGUGGAUAAGGAAUUUUGAGAUUUUAGAUUUGCUGGCCAAGUUUCCUCCAAAUUCUGUGAAGAUGAAACAGCCAUUCUGUAUGCAACCUUGGGAUUCUUCUCCAGAGAUUGUCAAGAAACUGUUCAAGGUAUGUGAAUUUCAAGCUGUUGGAGGCCUGAUUUUGUUAAGUUCUUUUACAAAUAUAGGACAUCGUUCGUGAAAGAUGUCAUACGUUCUAUCUAUUAUUGCAUUUGCUUUUUCAUAUUUAUGAGGUCUGUUUUCUUAUUCAUGAUUAUACGACCUCUAAAAGCUUGGAAUAAUUAUUUUGUGCUCGCUGAUACUGCCUAAUGGUCUCUCAUUGUCAUUACUCUUACCAUUCUUCUUCAUCUACGCUCUCAUUGCAUAGAUUGAAGUCAUAGGUUGUUCUUGCAGAGAUGUUAUGAGAUUUGAUUAUCAACAGAUUUGUAUUCUGCAAGUUAAGUGCUAUCCAAAUUCCAAAAGGACGACCUUGGCUUUGAAAAGUGAAAAAAUUGUCUGUAUACUAUGGGUAAUGGGUUAGUUAGGUUCUGGGUCACAAUAAAAAAUAAGCCAGAAACUUCAAGGCACAGAAGAGUUGAUUGCAAACCGUGCAUCAAUUUGGCAAGUAGAGCUUUGCCAUCUGUUAUGUGAAUGGGAGGGGUUCAUUUGUCCAAUACAUUCCCAUAUUCCAAUUGGGUUGUAGCUUUGUCCAAUCAAUCUCAUGGCUUCGUAGGUGGUUCCGCCAUUUUAGUCCAACAAAUGAAAAAUUGAGACUUCAAUGGGUAAUCGAAAUUUGGUGUGGAAAUAUAUAGGCGGCUGUCAAUUUGGUGGAAUCAGUAAAGGUUUUUCCAUUCACAUAACAAAUCUGUCAUUACCCCGAAUAAUCUGUUUAUACCUCGGGGCAGAGCCCCAGUUGGAUAGAUUCAUUUUCCAUACUUAAGGACCUAAAUCAGAAAUUUUAGGUUUUACAUAUAACAUGUAGUGAUUGAAUGUUAAAGGAAAUAGUUUCUUCAGUUUUGUUUGUUGGCAUUAUCGUGCAUUCCUGAAUAACAACUGUUGAGCAUAUGUUUAUUUGUCUCCGCUUGUCUCUGGAAUUAUUUGCUUUAAUGACUAACAUGUGCAGGAGCCUUUAUUUACUUUCUUAUGGUGGUUUUAUUUAUGUUCUACAAUUAAUAAGCUUUAUCUGUUGUUGUAUAAACCUAUCUAUAAAUGUGAAAUUUGGUUUUUCAAAUUGAAUCUUCUGUUAUCUAGGAAAUGAGCCUUAUGGUGAAGUACGGUUUAUGUCCUGGUACUUUGAAGGGUGAAUUGUUUAGAGUUCUGCUAGAGCAAGGAAUUCAUGGGUUGAAAGUUUCUGAGUUGGCGAAGUCUCAUUGCAGGUCAUUUGGGUGUGUGUAUAUAUAUAUAUAUAUAUAUCACAACUGUUUUCUAAAGGCUCAUAUUUUGGAGAUAAGGUCAUUGUUACCACCAAGCACAAUGAUAAUGAGCAGUAUGUGUGGGAGCCGCUCCGAUUCAAUAUUUAUGGUAUCUGGAGUGAUUAUGCAAAUGAAAUAAUGUAAUUGAUUUUGAGUGGUAUGGAGUUGUACACUUUUAUCGUAUCGAUUAUGCAAAUGAAAUGAUGUAGUUGUUAACUUCCAGUAAAUGGUAUGAAUAGUAUAACAACUGUUUAUACCUUGCAACUAAGUUGAUUUCUAUGACAUAAUAUUAACAGAUUUUCAGUAACAUAGCGUGCUCUAUAUAUAGCUGUGCACUUGAAGUUUAUGAUAUGCAUAAUGUGAUUUUUGUUAGGAAGAUAGUUCUAUGAUAUAGUAUUAACAGUUUACUUUUUUUUUUCUUGUAGAAGUAUUUCCUUUUGCCUUUGCGAUUAUAUCUGGUGAAACUAUAGACAAUUGGAGAGAUUUGAUGGAGAAGGAAGGGUCGUGGGGACAUGCCCUUGAAUUUCGUGUUUUUAUUUUAUUUUAUAUUUAUAGUUAAGUUUGGGUUUU